AUUGAACGCUGGCGGCAUGCUUUACACAUGCAAGUCGAACGGUAACAGGCCGCAAGGUGCUGACGAGUGGCGGACGGGUGAGUAAUGCAUCGGAACGUGCCCAGUCGUGGGGGAUAACUACUCGAAAGAGUAGCUAAUACCGCAUACGAUCUAUGGAUGAAAGCGGGGGACCGUAAGGCCUCGCGCGAUUGGAGCGGCCGAUGUCAGAUUAGGUAGUUGGUGGGGUAAAGGCUCACCAAGCCAACGAUCUGGAGCUGGUCUGAGAGGACAACCAGCCACACUGGGACUGAGACACGGCCCAGACUCCUACGGGAGGCAGCAGUGUGGAAUUUUGGACAAUGGGCGCGAGCCUGGUCCAGCAAUGCCGCGUGCAGGAAGACGGCCUUCGGGUUGUAAACUGCUUUUGUACGGAACGAAACGGCUCUGGUUAAUACCCGGGGCUAAUGACGGUACCGUAAGAAUAAGCACCGGCUAACUACGUG
rnacentral:rRNA from 1 species